rnacentral:rRNA from 1 species
ACAAUGACUCUCGGCAACGGAUAUCUCGGCUCUUGCAUCGAUGAAGAACGUAGCGAAAUGCGAUACUUGGUGUGAAUUGCAGAAUCCCGUGAACCAUCGAGUCUUUGAACGCAAGUUGCGCCCGAAGCCACUAGGCCGAGGGCACGCCUGCCUGGGUGUCACAC